rnacentral:sRNA from 1 species
UGUCUUCCAUAGGAAGAAUUUUCUAACACAACAGGUGAGGACUCGUCUUUACAAGCUCUCUGUGGUGCUUCCCAGCAUGGAGCAGAUCCACAAAAGAACUCUGAGGGGCGUAGCAAGGAGACCAAACACAGGCACCCAGGGAGAGCACCUGGCAUAGCCACAGGGCCAUUGAGAUCUGCCACAGGGGGUGUUGGCCCGCUCUCAGUCGUCUCCCGAGCUGCAGAGUCCCCAGCCUGGAAACAAGGUUUCAACAUUCCCUUACAUGGUCCAGGCGCCGUCAGCGAGGUGAGCAACGGCACGUUGAGGAGGGCAGGCUGCGUCUGGCUGCUGCCUCUUCUGGUCUUGCACCUGCUCCUCAAAUUUUGAUGUGAGUGCCACUUCCCCACCCGGGAAAGGCUGCCGCCACCACCACCACCAACACAACAGCAAUGGCAACACCGACAGCAACCAAUCAGAUAUAUACAAAUGAAAUUAGAAGAAACACAGCCUCAUGGGACAGAAAUUUG